rnacentral:lncRNA from 1 species
UCCCGCCUAACAGGAUCUAGAUUGGUUCUUCUCAAAAGUUUAUGUGCCGAAGCCCACCAGGGACUCUUGUCAAAAUGCAGUUCUGAUUGAGCGGAUCUGUGUAGUCCCUGAGAUGGGGCAUCGUGAACAGGCUCCCAGGAGAUGCCCAUGUCGCAAUCUAUGGAGCAGUAGCUGUGGCUAGGGAGCUUGAGAGCCAGGCUUCUCAAAAAGGGCAGCAAAUAAGAAUCUCCGGCGAGCAUUUUAAAACUUCAGAUCCUUGGGGCCUGUCUGAGACCUCCUGUUAUAUAUGAUGCUGUUAUGGUUUGGAUGUGAGGUGUCCCCUAAAAGCUCAUGUGUGAGACAAUGCAAGAAGGCUCAGGGGAGAAAUGAUGGGUCAUAGCCUCAACCUGAUCAGUGAAUUAAUCCCUGAGGGGCUUCACUGAGUGGUAUCUGGAGGCAGGUGGGAUGUGGCUGGAGGAAGUGGCUCAUGGGGGAUGUGGCUAUGGGGUAUAGAUUUUGUUUAUGGAGAGUGGAGUCUCUCUCUCCUUGCUUCCUGGUCAUCAUGUGAGAUGAUUCCCUCUGCCACACUCUUCUGCCACAAUGUUCUGCCUCACCUUGAGCCCCAAGGAAUAGAGCCAGCUGUCC